rnacentral:rRNA from 1 species
GACGAACGCUGGCGGCGUGCUUAACACAUGCAAGUCGAACGGAAAGGCCCUGCUUUUGUGGGGUGCUCGAGUGGCGAACGGGUGAGUAACAAGUGAGUAACCUGCCCUUGACUUUGGGAUAACUUCAGGAAACUGGGGCUAAUACCGGAUAGGAGCUCCUGCUGCAUGGUGGGGGUUGGAAAGUUUCGGCGGUUGGGGAUGGACUCGCGGGUUAUCAGCUUGUUGGUGGGGUAGUGGCUUACCAAGGCUUUGACGGGUAGCCGGCCUGAGAGGGUGACCGGCCACAUUGGGACUGAGAUACGGCCCAGACUCCUACGGGAGGCAGCAGUGGGGAACAUUGCACAAUGGGCGGAAGCCUGAUGCAGCAACGCCGCGUGCGGGAUGACGGCCUUCGGGUUGUAAACCGCUUUCGCCUGUGACGAAGCGUGAGUGACGGUAAUGGGUAAAGAAGCACCGGCUAACUACGUG